GAUGAAGAACGCAGCGAAAUGCGAUAACUAAUGUGAAUUGCAGAAUUCCGUGAAUCAUCGAGUCUUUGAACGCACAUUGCGCCCCCUGGUAUUCCGGGGGGCAUGCCUGUCCGAGCGUCAUUGCUGCCCAUCAAGCACGGCUUGUGUGUUGGGUCCUCGUCCCCCCGGGGGGACGUGCCCGAAAGGCAGCGGCGGCACCGCGUCCGGUCCUCGAGCGUAUGGGGCUUUGUCACCCGCUCUGCAGGCCCGGCCGGCGCUGGCCGACGCGAAAGCAACCAUUUUUUCUCCAGGUUGACCUCGGAUCAGGUAGGGAUACCCGCUGAACUUAAGCAUAUCAAUAAGCGGAGGA
rnacentral:misc_RNA from 1 species